UGAGUCAUGUGUGCAGAUACACGGACGUGAGUCUCGUGUGCAGAUACCAUGGACACCAUGAGUCAUGUGUGUGCAGAUACAUGGACACCGUGAGUCAUGUGUGUAGAUGCAUGGAUACUGUGUAAGUAAAGUAGAAGAACAUGCUGGGGGAGAGUGCAUGCUUCAUCCAGAACUGUGAUUCUCUGUCUGGGUGGACAAGCUGAACAGCU
rnacentral:lncRNA from 1 species